rnacentral:rRNA from 1 species
AGCGAACGCUGGCGGCAGGCUUAACACAUGCAAGUCGAGCGGGCACUUUCGGGUGUCAGCGGCGGACGGGUGAGUAACGCGUGGGAACGUGCCUUCUGGUUCGGAAUAACUCAGGGAAACUUGAGCUAAUACCGGAUACGCCCUUUUGGGGAAAGGUUUACUGCCGGAAGAUCGGCCCGCGUCUGAUUAGCUAGUUGGUGGGGUAAUGGCCUACCAAGGCGACGAUCAGUAGCUGGUCUGAGAGGAUGAUCAGCCACACUGGGACUGAGACACGGCCCAGACUCCUACGGGAGGCAGCAGUGGGGAAUAUUGGACAAUGGGCGCAAGCCUGAUCCAGCCAUGCCGCGUGAGUGAUGAAGGCCUUAGGGUUGUAAAGCUCUUUUAUCCGGGACGAUAAUGACGGUACCGGAGGAAUAAGCCCCGGCUAACUUCGUGCCAGCCGCCGCCGUAACAC